CCCUUAGAUGUUCUGGGCCGCACGCGUGCUACACUGAGUGGAUCAGCGGGUCAGGUUGCGCGAAAGUGUUUCCUAAUCUUGAAAUCCGCUCGUGAUGGGGAUUGACGGUUGCAAUUUUCCGUCAUGAACGAGGAAUACCUUGUAAGCGCGGGUCAUCAUCCCGCGCUGAAUACGUCCCUGCCCUUUGUACACACCGCCCGUCGCUCCUACCGAUUGAGUGGUCCGGUGAGGCUUUGGGAUCUGAGCAAAAAGAGUGUUUCGCUCGUUUGGCUCGGAAAACUCAGUCGAACCUUAUCAUUUAGAGGAAGGAGAAGUCGUAACA
rnacentral:rRNA from 1 species